rnacentral:rRNA from 1 species
GAUGAACGCUAGCUACAGGCUUAACACAUUCACGUCGAGGGCCCGUCGCACGGGUGAGUAACACGUUUCCACCCUGCGCUUUACUCGGGGACAGCCCUUCGAAAGAAAGAUCAAUACCCGAUAGAAAGGAUGGGGAUGCGUUCCUUUAGGUUGUUGGUGCGGUAACGGCUCACCAAACCUUCGAUGGAUGUGGUUUCUGCGAGGAAGGUCCCCCACAUUGGAACUGAUACACGGUCCAAACUCCUACGGGAGGCAGCAGUGAGGAAUAGUGGUCAAUGGGCGCUAGCCUGAACCAGCAAAGUAGCGUGAAGGAUGAAGGCUUAUGGGUCGUAAACUUCUUUUAUAUAAGAAUAUGUAUUAUAUGAAUAAGGAUCGGCGAACUCCGUGCCAGCAGCCGCGGUAAUAC